CGACUUUGCACUACGGGAAAAGUUCACAUUUCGUUUUGGUUUUUUUUUCCUUGCCAGAUAGUUUUCGUAUAGUGGCUGCACGUAUAGUAAUAAACUCGAAAGUGGUAGUUUACUCGAAAUAAGAUUUUUUUUUUUCUUAGAUUCUGAUUGAAGCGAGGAAUGUAUUGGUUUUACUAUGAUGUGUUUCUUCUGUAUGUAAACAACUUUCCUACCGAAAAUCUUGUUCCAAUCAAAGUAUACAAAGUUUCACGUAACAUUAUUUUUAAUCUAGUU